AUUGAACGCUGGCGGCAGGCCUAACACAUGCAAGUCGAGCGGAUGAGUGGAGCUUGCUCCAUGAUUCAGCGGCGGACGGGUGAGUAAUGCCUAGGAAUCUGCCUGGUAGUGGGGGGCAACGUUUCGAAAGGAACGCUAAUACCGCAUACGUCCUACGGGAGAACGUGGGGGAUCUUCGGACCUCACGCUAUCAGAUGAGCCUAGGGCGGAUUCGCUAGUUGGUGAGGUAAAGGCUCACCAAGGAGACGAUCCGUAACUGGGCUGAGAGGAUGAUCAGUCACACUGGAACUGAGACACGGUCCAGACUCCUACGGGAGGCAGCAGUGGGGAAUAUUGGACAAUGGGCGAAAGCCUGAUCCAGCCAUGCCGCGUGUGUGAAGAAGGUCUUCGGAUUGUAAAGCACUUUAAGUUGGGAGGAAGGGCAGUAAGUUAAUACCUUGCUGUUUUGACGUUACCAACAGAAUAAGCACCGGCUAACUUCGUGCCAGCCGCCGCCGUAAAAC
rnacentral:rRNA from 1 species